rnacentral:rRNA from 1 species
UACAGAGGUCUCAAGCGUUGUUCGGAUUCAUUGGGCGUAAAGGGUGCGUAGGUGGCGAGGCAAGUCAGAUGUGAAAUCCCGGGGCUCAACCCCGGAACUGCAUUUGAAACUGCCUUGCUCGAGUACUGGAGAGGAGACUGGAAUUUACGGUGUAGCAGUGAAAUGCGUAGAUAUCGUAAGGAAGACCAGUGGCGAAAGCGAGUCUCUGGACAGUUACUGACACUGAGGCACGAAGGCCAGGGGAGCAAACGGG